CACUGGGAGAGGAUACAACAGAGCAGAGAUCAGUUGAUCAUGUUCUUGCCUCCCGGCUCUGUACUUGUGAUCUUGUUGGUUUUGGGGAGGACGGAUGGAGACUCGGUGAACCAGACGGAAGGUCAUGUAGCACUCGUUGAAGGGACAGCACUCUCUCUCAACUGCACUUACAAAAUUGGAGGCUCUACCCCUUAUGUCUUCUGGUAUGUUCAGUUUCCUGGGGAAGGCCUUCAGUUCCUCCUAAACGCCAUGUCUGGGAGAGAAGAGGGGAAAAGUGAGAAUGGAUUUCAUGCCAAACUCAAUAAGACUGAGACGUCUUUCCACCUGAGGAAGCAAGCCAUCACCGUGGGAGACUCGGCUGUGUACUACUGUGCUGUGAGUGACACAGAGAUGGGAGCCUCAGGGGGAGCUGUACACAAACCCCUGACAGAAUCAGCAGUGACACGGAGUUUGGGCAGAGGUGGAUGUGGAGUGAAGUACUCACGCCUGCUCUGGGGCUGUCUCCAUGGAGAUAGGAAACUCCUAGCCCUGCUAGUCCCACAGAAAAUGGCUGGGCUUGUCUCCAGUCUGCACAUUUCUUUUCCUAUAUUCACCUCUCCUGCUCUUUCUGUCCUACAACACCCUCAUCUCUUCCUCUCUCUCAGUCAGGCUGAUGCACAUGACAUGGCCAGGGGAUGGAAAAGGCUGCAGGAUUUUGUGACCAGUGGCCACCUGCAUGUGGGAUUUCCAUGAAGAUAUGGACCAAAGUCCAUGAUCCUCUCAAAUGCCCCAUCCCAUCCUUUCCUUCUCUGAAAAUGUUUUCUCUGGAAGAUUUUCCUCCUCUCCAUGAAUCCUUCACACCAUUGGCUCCAACACAUGGAAAUAACCCAAGUACUGUAGCAUCUAUGCUACUGAAGCAAACUUGUUCUCAACUGCACUUAUGAUAUCAGCGUCUCUUUGCCUUAUCUCUUCUGGUACAUCCAGUUUCCCAGUGAAGGCCAUCAGCUCCUCCUUAAAGGCACAUCUGGGGAAGAACAGGAGGAAAGUAGGAACGAUUUUCAUGGCAAACUCAAUAAGACUGAGAAGUAGUUCCAUCUGAGGAAGCAAGCCCUUGCCCCGAGAGACUUGGCUGUGUAUUACUGUACUCCAAAUGACACAGUGAUAGGAGCUGCAGCGGGAGCUGUCUUACCUGCCACCUGCCAUUACCUGGUUACCUUGUAUCUAUCCCAGCGCGUAGUACAGUGAUUGACACAUAGUAAGCGCUUAACAAAUAUCAAAGUGUUUUUGUUAUUAUUAUUAUAAUCUUCUUAGAAAAGAGCAGAGUGCAUUCUCUAGAAAUGGCCUGUGAAACCAUUGCACAGUGCUCAGCUCUUAGAACAGUGCUUGGCACAUAGUAAGUGCUUAACAAACAACAUCAUCAUCAUCACCACCUCAGUAGAUUUACCACAAGAGGGCAUUAUCUCCCAGUAAAGACCUAUUUCUUCCGGAUUUUCAUGUCUGAUGUCAACCAACGUGUAAUUUUUUUUUACCUUUACCUCUUCCUUGGGUGUCACUGAGAGAGGAUACUGAGAGCGCAGAGAACAGUUGACCAUGGUCUUCCCUCCAGAUUUUUUAAUUGUGAUCUUGUUACUCUUGGAGAAGACGAAUGGAGAUUCAGUGGAUCAGACAAAAGGCCACAUAGCCCUCGCUGAAGAGAAAACACUGACUCUUAACUGCACUUAUGAAACUACCUACUCUUCUCCUUAUCUCUUCUGGGGUGAGCGGCCUGGACGAGGUUGAGCAAACUCCUCCAUCCCUGACCAUCCAAGAGGGGGAGGAUGGCAUCAUGAACUGCAGCUACAAAGCCAGCAAUUUUCAAGGUUUACAAUGGUACCGACAGUAUGCUGGAAAAGGCCCUGAAUUCCUGUUUAUCCUGUGGUUAAAUGGAGAUAAUAAAAAGGAAGGAAGAUUGACAGCCAACCUCAGGACUGAAGGAAGUGUCAGCUCCCUGCUCAUCAGGGACUCCCACCUCGAAGACUCAGCCUCUUAUCUCUGUGCUGUGGAGACACAGUGAUCUCCAGACACCUGCAGCCUGUGUGGAAGUCCUGUCUACAUCUGGGGCACCUGCUCACACUCUUCCAGUGGGGUAUCCUAUUGUGUGACACAUAAAUUGACAAGUCUUUCACUGCAAAGGAAAUUAACCCAUCUCCUGAUAUGAUGAGCAGUACUCCCUGUAGACAGUCAGCCUGUCAGUCAGUCAAUGAUAUUUAUGGACCCCUUACUGCAUGCAGACCACUAUACCAAGU